rnacentral:rRNA from 1 species
UACGUAGGGGGCAAGCGUUAUCCGGAUUUACUGGGUGUAAAGGGAGCGUAGACGGUGAUGCAAGUCAGAAGUGAAAGCCCGGGGCUCAACCCUGGGACUGCUCUGGAAACUGUAAAGCUGGAGUGCAGGAGAGGUAAGCGGAAUUCCUAGUGUAGCGGUGAAAUGCGUAGAUAUAUGGAAGAACACCAGUGGCGAAAGCGGCUCUCUGGUCUGUAACUGACGCUGAGGUUCGAAAGCGUGGGUAGCAAACAGG